AGCGAACGGACGAGAAGCUUGCUUCUCUGAUGUUAGCGGCGGACGGGUGAGUAACACGUGGAUAACCUACCUAUAAGACUGGGAUAACUUCGGGAAACCGGAGCUAAUACCGGAUAAUAUUUUGAACCGCAUGGUUCAAAAGUGAAAGACGGUCUUGCUGUCACUUAUAGAUGGAUCCGCGCUGCAUUAGCUAGUUGGUAAGGUAACGGCUUACCAAGGCAACGAUGCAUAGCCGACCUGAGAGGGUGAUCGGCCACACUGGAACUGAGACACGGUCCAGACUCCUACGGGAGGCAGCAGUAGGGAAUCUUCCGCAAUGGGCGAAAGCCUGACGGAGCAACGCCGCGUGAGUGAUGAAGGUCUUCGGAUCGUAAAACUCUGUUAUUAGGGAAGAACAUAUGUGUAAGUAACUGUGCAC
rnacentral:rRNA from 1 species